GAUGAACGCUAGCGGCAGGCCUAAUACAUGCAAGUCGAACGGUGUCUUCGGACAUAGUGGCGCACGGGUGCGUAACACGUAUGCAACCUACCUUACAUUGGGGGAUAGCCUUUCGAACGGGAGAUUAAUACCGCAUAAGACAGUAGCUGGGCAUCCAGCAGCUGUUAAAGACUUAUCGAUGUAAGCUGGGCAUGCGUCCAAUUAGCUAGUUGGUGAGGUAACGGCUCACCAAGGCAAUGAUUGGUAGGGGAACUGAGAGGUCAAUCCCCCACACUGGCACUGGGAAACGGGCCAGACUCCUACGUGAGGCAGCAGUAGGGAAUAUUGGGCAAUGGACGCAAGUCUGACCCAGCCAUGCCGCGUGCAGGAUGAAGGCGUUAUGCGUUGUAAACUGCUUUUAUACAGGAAGAAACGACUCUUGCGAGAGGCAUUGACGGUACUGUAUGAAUAAGCACCGGCUAACUCCGUGCCAGCCGCCGCCGUAAUAC
rnacentral:rRNA from 1 species